GAUGAACGCUGGCGGCGUGCUUAACACAUGCAAGUCGAACGGUGAAGGCGGAGCUUGCUCUGCUGGAUCAGUGGCGAACGGGUGAGUAACACGUGAGCAAUCUGCCCCUGACUCUGGGAUAAGCGCUGGAAACGGCGUCUAAUACUGGAUACGAGCUGCGAAGGCAUCUUCAGCAGCUGGAAAGAACUUCGGUCAGGGAUGAGCUCGCGGCCUAUCAGCUUGUUGGUGAGGUAACGGCUCACCAAGGCGUCGACGGGUAGCCGGCCUGAGAGGGUGACCGGCCACACUGGGACUGGGACACGGCCCAGACUCCUACGGGAGGCAGCAGUGGGGAAUAUUGCACAAUGGGCGAAAGCCUGAUGCAGCAACGCCGCGUGAGGGACGACGGCCUUCGGGUUGUAAACCUCUUUUAGCAGGGAAGAAGCGAAAGUGACGGUACCUGCAGAAAAAGCGCCGGCUAACUAC
rnacentral:rRNA from 1 species